rnacentral:rRNA from 1 species
AUUGAACGCUGGCGGCAGGCCUAACACAUGCAAGUCGAGCGGCAGCGGGACCUUCGGGUUGCCGGCGAGCGGCGGACGGGUGAGUAAUGCCUAGGAAUCUGCCUGUUAGUGGGGGAUAACGCGGGGAAACUCGCGCUAAUACCGCAUACGUCCUACGGGAGAAAGUGGGGGACCUUCGGGCCUCACGCUAACAGAUGAGCCUAGGUCGGAUUAGCUAGUUGGUGGGGUAACGGCCCACCAAGGCGACGAUCCGUAACUGGUCUGAGAGGAUGAUCAGGCACACUGGAACUGAGAAACGGUCCAGACUCCUACGGGAGGCAGCAGUGGGGAAUAUUGGACAAUGGGCGAAAGCCUGAUCCAGCCAUGCCGCGUGUGUGAAGAAGGUCUUCGGAUUGUAAAGCACUUUAAGCCGGGAGGAAGGGCUGUAGGCGAAUACCCUGCAGUCUUGACGUUACCGGCAGAAUAAGCACCGGCUAACUUCGUGCCAGCCGCCGCCGUAACAC